UAAACGGACCACCUUUCACCUCUGACCCCAAGCCAUUUUGAAAACACUCGGAAAACAGAUAUAACCAUAGCACUGUCAAUCCUAUGUACGUACGGUACAACCUACUGGUUGUACUAAUACCUUAUGUCUAAUGUUAAAAAUACAGUUCUAGAUGAUCCUUGCCACUAUUCAGAAAGUGACUACUCAGCAUCCACUUCAAGUCCUCCUCUGAAAAAAUUGAAGCUAGAGCUAGAGAGACCGGAAGAACCCACAAAGUGUCUGAUAUACAUUGUAGAGAAGAAGAUAUCUUCUGGUCACUUGUCCCAUCUGAAAGAAAUAGCCAAGAAGAAAGGCUUUUCUGUAGCCAAUUUCAUCAGCCAAGAUGUGACCCACGUAGUGACAACCCUGCCCUUUGAACGAUUAACAUCUGUACUGAGUGUUAUACCAGCCAAUGCUGACGUGAUUGGUCUAGAAUGGCUGACCUCCUCUUUUGCGGAGGGCAUGCCAGUCCUAGUUACAGAUCGCUAUAGACUGCAGAAGAGUAUGGAAGUCAUAUCACCACCAACUCCUGUUCAAAGAACAGCUGCUGAGAAAGUAACGACCUACGACCCCAUAUCGGUGUAUGAAUGCCAGAGAGCAACUUUAUUAGAACAUCAUAACCACAUACUGACGGAUGCUCUUGAAUUGCUUGAGAGGUACUACCAGCACUUGGACCACAAAGAGGGAGACACUCGUGCUUUGGCCUUUAGACAAGCUUCCUGUACUCUAAAGGUGCUACCAAGGAAGGUUGUGGACAUUGGACAAAUCACACAUCUGCCUAGAAUAGGCAAGCACUCCAGUCAAGUGAUACAGGACAUUCUCAGCACCGGCUUGUGUCAAGAGGUGGAAGAGUGUAGGAGAAGCGAGUGGUUUCAGUGCAUGGAGCUGUUCACAAGUGUGUAUGGCUGUGGUUCUGUUACUGCCAACAAGUGGUACCAGAAAGGUCUGAGGUCAAUCAACGAUAUUCAGACCUCUAAGGAGCUCCAAUUGACCAAAACCCAGAAGUUAGGGCUUGUUUACUAUGAGCACCUUUCUGUUCCAGUGACAAGAGAGGAGACAGAGAUGAUAACCGGCUACGUACAGAGGCUGGUCGAUGUCUGUGCCUCUGGAACCAGUGUGGAGGCUGUAGGAGGAUAUCGAAGGGGAAAGGCUCAUGGCCAUGACAUAGAUCUCCUACUGACAAAUCCCGACCACACAAUUACUGACACUCUGUUGACCAUACUGCUCAGCGAACUACGCAAGCAGGAUGUUCUAGUUCACUCUGACGUUACUAGUGGAAAAAACAUAGCACAUGUGAGCAUGGGCCAUUUCCAUACCCCUCCAACACAGGGAAAGAACCGACGAGUGAAAUUUGACAACCUGAACAAAGCGUUUUGCAUACUUAGAUUGCCACAUUCUAGUGACACUACUACCACUACCAAUGAUGUUGAAGAACAUGAGGAGAGGAAAGCUCCAUGUCUUGUGAAACGAGUGGACUUUGUUGUUUCUCCUCCAGAACAGUACCCAUUCGCUCUAGUCAGUUGGACAGGCUCAAAGCAAUUCAACCGAUCCCUGAGACGCUACUCUGCCAACGAGUUAAACAUGACAGUGAAUGCACACGGUAUCUAUGAUAUUGCUCAGGUGGGUUGAUUGAUAACUAUGAUGUCAUUACUUCCUCAUUCUCAAUAUCUAAAUGGCGGUCAGCUUUUGUUAUCAUGUACUCAACAAUAAUAUUGCACAGAAUAAAUCUCUAGUGGCUACCACGGAAAAGGAAGUGUUCUCCCUUCUGAAGCUGGAGUACAGAGAACCAUGGGAGAGAAACUGCUGAGAGUACGUGAUUCAGAUCAGCUUUCAACAGAAUCAUAUACAGAGUCACAAAAUUGUAAAGAAACGGUGUACAUUAUAUCAUAUAAAGAGGCCUAGCCAUAUUUCUGCAUUUUUACCUGUUUUAGUUCAAUGAAAGCACCGCAGGUGCUGAUGCCUCGGUGAGGUGUCAAAGCUACAUAACUAAUUCUAUCUAUCAUUCAGUAUAAAUUAUCACUAUGAACAUUUUUGCAUUAA